CCUGGGGAGGGUUGGAAGACUGGCUGUCACUGAGCUUAUGAGGAGCAGUGUUUAGAUGUGUGCUUUCCACAGUGUUCAAUCUGGUUUUCAGGCUGGGGAAGGCAUGUGCAACAGUCUCUGGAUGCAGAGCCAGCCCUGGGCGCAGAGGCUGCUGGGAGCGGAAAUCAAUGCAGCCACAGCAGAUGUUGACCCUGACAGACCCACAGGCUGGGUGGCCCGCUAAGGUGAAGGGAGACGGCAUUGCCAACGCAACAUCAGGAGGCCCAGGCAGGCUCUCUCAUCUGCCCCUAUUGGAGGCAAGAGCGAACACUGGCUGUUAUUUAGCCUAUUCUCCGGGGGAGUCCUGGACAGAGCUCUGAGAGGCAGGAGCAGCCACGGGUGGGACACUGACUGUUGCACUGAUGCUCAUUGGAAAGAAGGCAGUUACGAAGGAUGGUGAUGGGAAGGGAUUAGUCCGAUCUCUGAAUUUCCUGCCUUUGAUGGCUCUGUAGCAUCCAGGAUCACCUCCCUCAUGGGUUAAUUUCCCAAUGCAACACAAAGAGCUUAUGAAUAAACCACCAGAGUUGCUGAUGGCAAAACCUCACACCUGCACAUUCUAAUUGGUCGAGAAGGAGAGAAGAUGGGUCAGCAUAAUUGGUGCCCUCCAGACACUGCAAGCCGGGAAUUAAGGACUUGGCUGGCAGGAGGUUCCGCAGUGAGCCAGAACUGGGCCGUACAGACCUGACAGCAGAAAAAGAGGCUGAAUCAGUCACUCGACUCUGGCCCAGCCAUCGGCACGCCAGGUGGGAAGAAAUCAGAAAGGAGAAGGAACAUAUCCCUUACUCUUUCCCCUUCUACAGAGAACAUCGGGGGCAAGAUUCUGGUGCAAUUCUGGAGUCGCUCCACUGAGUUCAUGGAAAUUACUCAGGGGUUCUCUGGGUCACGGAGAUCAGCCCUUGAUCCAGAGCUAGGGAACCUCAGCAUUACAGAGAUAACAUUGUCCCAGUGAAGAGCUCUAAUCAGGAGUAAAAUUCCCACCCAUCCACCCCUGCAGUCUCAGCCUUAAUGUCUCAUUGCAUGGGGCAGGGGGGUAAAAAUGCCUGGGGGGGUUAGGAGCACACCUCCCAUUGACAGCCAUCGUGAUUCUUGUCUUAAAGUCCUCAGAUGCCUUUAAACUCACCCCACCUUGUUCUGAGUAUGUUAUCAUUGGUAUUGUGGUAGUGCCUAGAGGCCAGGACCACACUGUGCUAGGCGAGGUACAGACAUGGACCCUGGCAUGGACCCUGCCCCAAAGAACUCAGACUCUUAAGAGUACAUCUCCACUGCAUUAUAAAUCCAGGUCUGUGGACCCAGGCUGUGGACUCAGUGGUUCUAAGCCCAUGUCUGAGCAGCCACACCGCAUUGUAAACCUGAGUUUACAGAUGCUGGGCUUAGGUUUCACAGCCAUGCUAAUGUGUCCGUACUGUGCUAUGCAGACCAUCUGACUCAGGGCUGCAGCUUGAGCUGCAUCCACACUGCAAAAUGACAGGGCUUGGACC